GACGAACGCUGGCGGCGUGCUUAACACAUGCAAGUCGAACGGAAAGGCCCUGCUUUUGUGGGGUGCUCGAGUGGCGAACGGGUGAGUAACACGUGAGUAACCUGCCCUUGACUUUGGGAUAACUUCAGGAAACUGGGGCUAAUACCGGAUAGGAGCUCCUGCUGCAUGGGGGGGGUUGGAAAGUUUCGGCGGUUGGGGAUGGACUCGCGGCUUAUCAGCUUGUUGGUGGGGUAGUGGCUUACCAAGGCUGUGACGGGUAGCCGGCCUGAGAGGGUGACCGGCCACAUUGGGACUGAGAGACGGCCCAGACUCCUACGGGAGGCAGCAGUGGGGAAUAUUGCACAAUGGGCGGAAGCCUGAUGCAGCAACGCCGCGUGCGGGAUGACGGCCUUCGGGUUGUAAACCGCUUUCGCCUGUGACGAAGCGUGAGUGACGGUAAUGGGUAAAGAAGCACCGGCUAACUACGUG
rnacentral:rRNA from 1 species